rnacentral:misc_RNA from 1 species
GAUGAAGAACGUAGCGAAAUGCGAUACGUAAUGUGAAUUGCAGAAUUCAGUGAAUCAUCGAAUCUUUGAACGCACAUUGCACUCCUUGGUAUUCCGAGGAGUAUGCCUGUUUCAGUAUCAUGAGCACUAUCACAUCUAACCUUUGGGUUAAAAUGUGGAAUUGGGAUGCGCCGGUUAUUAUAACGGCCCUCCUAAAAUUCAGUUCUUGGCUGCUUCCUACUACAGCAGUUUGGCCUAAUAGUUUUGAGUCUUCGAUUCAAAUCUUUGGCUAACAUUUGCUUCAGGAUGUCAGUCUUGAUAUACAGAAAUCUCAUUCAAACUUUGAUCUGAAAUCAGGUAGGGCUACCCGCUGAACUUAAGCAUAUCAAUAAGCGGAGGA